rnacentral:rRNA from 1 species
GACGAACGCUGGCGGCAAGCUUAACACAUGCAAGUCGAACGCCGUAGCAAUACGGAGUGGCAGACGGGUGAGUAACACGUGGGAACGUGCCUUUCGGUUCGGAACAACUGAGGGAAACUUCAGCCAAAAUCGGAUACGCCCUUCGGGGGAAAGUUUACGCCGAAAGCUCGGCCCGCGUCAGAUAAGGGAGGUGGCGGGGUAAUGGCCCACCAAGCCGAUGAUCUGUAGCUGUUCUGAGAGGAAGAUCAGCCACACGGGGACUGAGACACGGCCCAGACUCCUACGGGAGGCAGCAGUGGGGAAUAUUGGACAAUGGGCGCAAGCCUGAUCCAGCUAUGCCGCGUGGAUGAAGAAGGCCUUCGGGUUGUAAAGUCCUUUCGGCGGGGAAGAUAAUGACGGUACCCGCAGAAGAAGCCCCGGCUAAUUUCGUGCCAGCCGCCGCAGUAAGAC